rnacentral:rRNA from 1 species
GUACACGCUGUGACUAGCAUAUCAAUAAGCGGAGGAAAAGAAACUAACAAGGAUUCCCCUAGUAACGGCGAGUGAAGCGGGAAGAGCUCAAAUUUGAAAUCUUAAAGGGUUUCCCUUUACGAAUUGUAGUUUAAAGAAGUGUUUUCUGUUGAGGUUUUGGUAAAAGUUCUUUGGAAUAGGACAUCAUAGAGGGUGAGAAUCCCGUAUUUGACCUUUACUUUCAACUUUGUGAUACACUUUCAAAGAGUCGGAUUGUUUGGGAAUGCAGUCCAAAAUGGGUGGUAAAUUUCAUCUAAAGCUAAAUAUUGGCGAGAGACCGAUAGCGAACAAGUACCGUGAGGGAAAGAUGAAAAGAACUUUGAAAAGAGGGUUAAACAGUACGUGAAAUUGUCAAAAGGGAAGCGUUUGACACCAGUGUUGUUUUUCUGAAAAUCAAUUAAAGAACUGUUUAUGCUAAGCUGUUUAGACUUUAUCAGCUAUCUGUUUAGUUUUGAGCUUUUCUUUAAUGCACCUUUCAGGUUAACAAGUCAACAUCAAUUUCUUUUGCUGUAAAAAAGCUUGAGGAAGGUGGCUUGAGAUUCGUCUUAAGUGUUUAUAGCCUCUUGCCUAUGCAGUCGGAGAGAUUGAGGUCUGCAGCGUAGAUCCUUCGGGGCUAAAUGCAUUUGUGCUAAGUUAUAGCAUUUUAUAGACAACUUGUUGACUAUGAUUUGUCUUGUAGCUUACUCGCUUAUGUUAUUUUACCUACGCUUAGGAUGUUGACUGAUAUGUAGUCGUA